rnacentral:rRNA from 1 species
UACGUAGGUGGCAAGCGUUGUCCGGAUUUACUUGGCGUAAAGAGCGCGCAGGCGGUCGUUCAAGUCGCGUGUGAAAGCCCCCGGCUCAACUGGGGAGGGUCACGCGAUACUGAUCGACUGGAAGGCAGGAGAGGGUAGUGGAAUUCCCGGUGUAGUGGUGAAAUGCGUAGAUAUCGGGAGGAACACCAGUGGCGAAGGCGACUACCUGGCCUGUUCUUGACGCUGAGGCGCGAAAGCUAGGGGAGCAAACGGG